rnacentral:miRNA from 1 species
UGUAAACACCCUACACUCAGCU